rnacentral:tRNA from 1 species
GCCUGGCUGGCUCAGUCAGUAGAGCAUGCAAUCUUGAUCUUAGGGUUGUGGGUUCAAGCCCCACGUUGGGCC